rnacentral:rRNA from 1 species
UACGGUCUCGUGGGCUCGGAGAUGUGUAUAAGAGACAGUGCGAGUAGAAUGAAAUUAGAUUCAUUGCAAACUGCUCAGUAACACGUGGAUAACCUGCCCUAUUGUCUGGAAUAACCUCGGGAAACUGAGAACAAGGCCGGAUAACCCACAAUGCCUGGAACGGUUUGUGGGUGAAGAUAGGAUGGGUCUGCGGCGUAUCAGGUCGUAGGGGGUGUAAUGGACCUCCUAGCCAUCGACGCGUACGGGUGUUGGGAGACAUAGCCCGGAGAUGGAUUCUGAGACACGAAUCCAGACCCUACGGGGUGCAGCAGGCGCGAAAACUUGGCAAUGCGAGAAAUCGUGACCAGGGAACUCCAAGUGCAUGGGGUAAGACCCAUGCUUUUCUUGACUCUAAAUAGGUCUUGGAAUAAGGGGUGGGUAAGGACGGUGCCAGCCGCCGCGGUAAUACCGGCGCCUCAAGUGGUAGUCGCUUUUAUUGGGCCUAAAACGUCCGUAGCCGGUCUGAUACAUUCGUGGGUAAAUCAACCAGCUCAACUGGUUGAAUUCUGCGAGGACGGUCAGACUUGGGACCGGGAGAGGUGUGGGGUACGCUCAGGGUAGGGGUAAAAUCCUGUCAUCCUGAGCGGACCACCUGUUGCGAAGGCGCCACACUAGAACGGAUCCGACGGUCAGGGACGAAGCCUAGGGGCACGAACCGGAUUAGAUACCCGGGUAGUCCUAGGUGUAAACGCUGUGAACUUGGUGUCGGGGAUCCGCAAUGGGUCCUCGGUGCCGGAGUGAAGAUGUUAAGUUCACUGCCUGGGGAGUACGGUCGCAAGGCUGAAACUUAAAGGAAUUGGCGGGGGAGCACUGCAACGGGAGGAGCGUGCGGUUUAAUUGGAUUCAACGCCGGAAAACUCACCAGGGCCGACUGUUAUAUGAAGACCAGCGUAAUGAGCUUGUCGGAUUUUCAGAGAGGUGGUGCAUGGCCGUCGUCAGUUCGUACUGUAAAGCGUUCUGUUAAGUCAGAUAACGAACGAGACCCUCAUCUCUAUUUGCUAACUAGAUCUCCGGAUUUAGUGCACUAUAGCUGUCUCUUAUACACAUCUGACGCUGCCGACGAAGAGGAUAGUGUA